UACCAGCACCCCGAGUGGUCGGGACGUUUAUUGGGCCUAAAGCAUCCGUAGCCGGUUCUACAAGUCUUCCGUUAAAUCCACCUGCUCAACAGAUGGGCUGCGGAAGAUACUAUGGAGCUAGGAGGCGGGAGAGGCAAGCGGUACUCGAUGGGUAGGGGUAAAAUCCGUUGAUCCAUUGAAGGCCACCAGUGGCGAAGGCGGCUUGCCAGAACGCGCUCGACGGUGAGGGAUGAAAGCUGGGGGAGCAAACCGG
rnacentral:rRNA from 1 species